rnacentral:rRNA from 1 species
UACGUAGGGUGCGAGCGUUAAUCGGAAUUACUGGGCGUAAAGCGCGCGUAGGCGGCUUUGCAAGUCGAGUGUGAAAUCCCCAGGCUUAACCUGGGAACUGCAUUCGAGACUGCAUAGCUAGAGUAUGGGAGAGGGAAGUGGAAUUUCAGGUGUAGCGGUGAAAUGCGUAGAUAUCUGAAGGAACAUCAGUGGCGAAAGCGACUUCCUGGACCAAUACUGACGCUCAUGUGCGAAAGCGUGGGGAGCAAACAGG